UACAGAGGUCCCAAGCGUUGUUCGGAUUCACUGGGCGUAAAGGGUGCGUAGGCGGUCGGGUAAGUCUGACGUGAAAUCUCCAAGCUCAACUUGGAAAUGGCGUCGGAUACUAUUCGGAUUGAGGAAUGGAGGGGAGACUGGAAUUCUCGGUGUAGCAGUGAAAUGCGUAGAUAUCGAGAGAAACACCAGUGGCGAAGGCGGGUCUCUGGACAGUUCCUGACGCUGAGGCACGAAGGCCAGGGGAGCAAACGGG
rnacentral:rRNA from 1 species